AUGUAUGUACCGCCAAGAAAAUUCCAGAAGAAAGAUGCCUUCCCCUCUCUCCCCACCUCCAAGAUGCACAACAGAACUUCCCAUCAGAAGGGUGCAAACUCUAGCUCCUCGGCGCAAACAGCUCACCUUGAAGCGAAGGAAUCGCACCGAACAGCAAACAUUGAGCAGGAAUCAGGCGGGGCGCCACGUAAAGCUCCCGCUUUCCGCACGGAUCACACGAUCAACCAAGCUAAGCGCGCCGAGAAUCGAGAUUCUGAGGCGUUAUUACUUACAAAGGAUGCGUGCCGUGAGAGCACCGACUUCCUCGCCGAGGCCGACGACGGGAUCGGCGGCUUCCCCCUGCCGCCGCCGCCGCCGAGCCUAAGCUCCUCCAUCUCCUCUGCCGCCGCCGCGGGGAGCCUCGUGGCCUCGGAUCGAGUCGGAGAUGGCUAG
rnacentral:rRNA from 1 species